rnacentral:rRNA from 1 species
AUUGAACGCUGGCGGCAGGCCUAACACAUGCAAGUCGAGCGGAUGAAGGGAGCUUGCUCCUGGAUUCAGCGGCGGACGGGUGAGUAAUGCCUAGGAAUCUGCCUGGUCGUGGGGGAUAACGUCCGGAAACGGGCGCUAAUACCGCAUACGUCCUGAGGGAGAAAGUGGGGGAUCUUCGGACCUCCCGCUAUCAGAUGAGCCUAGGUCGGAUUAGCUAGUUGGUGGGGUAAAGGCCUACCAAGGCGACGAUCCGUAACUGGUCUGAGAGGAUGAUCAGUCACACUGGAACUGAGACACGGUCCAGACUCCUACGGGAGGCAGCAGUGGGGAAUAUUGGACAAUGGGCGAAAGCCUGAUCCAGCCAUGCCGCGUGUGUGAAGAAGGUCUUCGGAUUGUAAAGCACUUUAAGUUGGGAGGAAGGGCAGUAAGUUAAUACCUUGCUGUUUUGACGUUACCAACAGAAUAAGCACCGGCUAACUUCGUG